GAAAGAAAGAAAGAAAGAAAGAAAGAAAGAAAGAAAGAAAGAAAGAAAGAAAGAAAGAAAGAAAGGAAAGAAACUACUUGCCACGAGAACAAUUUUCAAUGCUGACUUUACAUGUAAAAACACUUCAAAAGAAGAUAUUCAGAAACCUCCAAAACUAGAAUUACAAUAUCCAGGUUUCUCAGAUAUAAAAAGAUUGAUUACACACAAAAAAAGAAUAUUUUAUGGUGGCAUUCGAACACAUGAAAAAUAACCCAAAUACCUAUCAUUCUAGAACCAUUGCUCAUACCACACUUUAUGACUAAAGAAAAACUACCCUCCGCAUAGGCUCUGGUCUCAUCGCAUACUCAGUCUCAAUGGGAUUUCCUUAAGAGUCAAAACCCCGACAAUUGCAUGAAGCCGGAAGCUCAGCAAUCUUCUGAGGGCAUCUAUCUUGUUUUCUAAGAAGCAUUUUGGAGGUUUUUCUUUACCUGGAGAAAGCACUGGCUAGAGCUAUCUGGCAUACAAUGUAAAGAAGCUUCACGAAAAAUAAAAGAAAAGUGAAAAUAUAUUUAGCUACAAAUGAUUGUCCUCUUCCCUGAAAAUUACAGAAGAGGAAAGCAACAGUGUGUUCAGCAAGCUGGAACUAAACUGUUACUGAAUGGAGAGUUCCCAUCCUGCCUCAGUGGAAUCAAAGAAAAGAGAAAGGCUCCAAAAUGAACACAAUGCGUGUUAUUUGCUACCAUAAACUGUGCAACUGGUUUCUACUGCUGUGUUGCAAUUGAAUAGUAAUCAGGAGAAGUUACACGUUGUUCUUAGAAAUAAUACAACGAAUCCUGUCAAUCUUAAGUCCUGACACUGAAUUUAACGCUCUCUGUUUAGUCCUACCAUCAAGGAUGAUUUGCAGGUGAAGAAUUCUUGAUAGUCAGAUGCAGACUACGUCUUCAGAUCCUAUGGCCUAAGGUUAUUAAGGUGGGAGAAGCAAAACAAAUGCGGUUCUCAUCCAGUAAUAAUGGAUUUACAAGAAUUUGAAACAAAACUUUCCUUCCAGCUACUGCUUUCAUGUCAGAGAAAUAAAAUACAUGUACAAGAUUUAAAGCUUUAUGUGUCUAACCCUUUCUGACCCCUUUUACAUUCAGUUAUUAAUAAUAAUAACUAUGAUAAUAUUGCUUAUGCCCAGGGCUGAAAUGAGGGUUAAUUAGUUAAUAUUUAUAAAGCUUUCUGAAAAUGAAAAGUACUGUUUAAGCCCUAAGUGUAUUCUUUUCUUCUUUCACUCUCUUCUUUCAUUUCCUUCUUUUAUCACAGAUCAAUUGAUUCUUCCUCCCAUCUGGCUAAUUUUUUUCACUGGUUAUAUUUCCUGCUCGUUUUGGAUUAUUGCCCUUGACUCCACAUUGACCUCAAUCACUCUUACCCUUCAACAUUGUGUUUGCUCUUUUUGCCUCCCACGCUUUAGUCACUUCUUUCUCACUUUCAUUUCUUCUUUCUAGUCUUCCUUUAUCCACUCCUAACACUAAUCUCGUAGCUGUAGACUUAUCUUUUUCAUUGUCCUCAUUUUUUAAGCAUAGGUGAAAUACCGGAAUUGAUAUAGAUUUAAUUUAAUUUUAUCUCCUAUGUUAUGCAUUAUUGAGACCAGAAAGUAGAUAAAUCAAAUUGGUCAUACCCAAUCCUUUCCUACAAGAUAGUAAAUGUUUUGAAGUCACAGACUAUUGCCAUCUGGAAUAGUCCUUCUUUUGUAACCCAGUAUAAUCUCCACAAAAAUGUUAUUUUUAAAAAAUCCCUCCACUCUAUAACAUUCUGAUGACCUGUAAGCUUUCAAGAAGUCUUCAGUGAA
rnacentral:lncRNA from 1 species